rnacentral:rRNA from 1 species
UGGGGAAUUUUGGACAAUGGGCGCAAGCCUGAUCCAGCCAUGCCGCGUGCGGGAAGAAGGCCUUCGGGUUGUAAACCGCUUUGUCAGGGAAGAAAAGGUUCUGGCUAAUACCUGGGACUCAUGACGGUACCUGAAGAAUAAGCACCGGCUAACUACGUGCCAGCAGCCGCGGUAAUACGUAGGGUGCAAGCGUUAAUCGGAAUUACUGGGCGUAAAGCGUGCGCAGGCGGUUAUGCAAGACAGAGGUGAAAUCCCCGGGCUCAACCUGGGAACUGCCUUUGUGACUGCAUGGCUAGAGUACGGUAGAGGGGGAUGGAAUUCCGCGUGUAGCAGUGAAAUGCGUAGAUAUGCGGAGGAACACCGAUGGCGAAGGCAAUCCCCUGGACCUGUACUGACGCUCAUGCACGAAAGCGUGGGGAGCAAACAGGAUUAGAUACCCUGGUAGUCCACGCCCUAAACGAUGUCAACUGGUUGUUGGGAGGGUUUCUUCUCAGUAACG